AUUGAACGCUGGCGGCAUGCUUUACACAUGCAAGUCGAACGGCAGCACGGGUGCUUGCACCUGGUGGCGAGUGGCGAACGGGUGAGUAAUACAUCGGAACAUGUCCCGUAGUGGGGGUUAGCCCGGCGAAAGCCGGAUUAAUACCGCAAACGAUCCACGGACGAAAGCGGGGGACCUUCGGGCUUCGCGCUAUAGGGUUGGCCGAUGGCUCAUUAGCUAGUUGGUGGGGUAAAGGCCUACCAAGGCGAAGAUCGGUAGCUGGUCUGAGAGGACGGACAGCCACACUGGGACUGAGACAGGGCCCAGACUCCUACGGGAGGCAGCAGUGGGGAAUUUUGGACAAUGGGCGAAAGCCUGAUCCAGCAAUGCCGCGUGUGUGAAGAAGGCGUUCGGGUUGUAAAGCACUUUUGUCCGGAGAGAAAUCCUUGACUCUAAUACGAUCGGGGAAUGACGGUACCGGAAGAAUAAGCACCGGCUAACUACGUG
rnacentral:rRNA from 1 species